AGGUCUACACGCGACGACGGGUAGCCGGCCUGAGAGGGUGACCGGCCACACUGGGACUGAGACACGGCCCAGACUCCUACGGGAGGCAGCAGUGGGGAAUAUUGCACAAUGGGCGAAAGCCUGAUGCAGCGACGCCGCGUGAGGGAUGACGGCCUUCGGGUUGUAAACCUCUUUCAGUAGGGAAGAAGCGAAAGUGACGGUACCUGCAGAAGAAGCGCCGGCUAACUACGUGCCAGCAGCCGCGGUAAUACGUAGGGCGCAAGCGUUAUCCGGAUUUAUUGGGCGUAAAGAGCUCGUAGGCGGUUUGUCGCGUCUGCCGUGAAAGUCCGAGGCUCAACCUCGGAUCUGCGGUGGGUACGGGCAGACUAGAGUGAUGUAGGGGAGACUGAAAUUCCUGGUGUAGCGGUGAAAUGCGCAGACAUCAGGAGGAACACCGAUGGCGAAGGCAGGUCUCUGGGCAUCUACUGACGCUGAGGAGCGAAAGCAUGGGGAGCGAACAGGAUUAGAUACCCUGGUAGUCCAUGCCGUAAACGUUGGGCACUAGGUGUGGGGAACAUUCCACGUUUUCCGCGCCGUAGCUAACGCAUUAAGUGCCCCGCCUGGGGAAGUACGGA
rnacentral:rRNA from 1 species